rnacentral:rRNA from 1 species
UACAGAGGUCUCAAGCGUUGUUCGGAUUCAUUGGGCGUAAAGGGCGCGUAGGCGGGCUGUCAAGUCUGGGGUGAAAUCCCGCGGCUCAACCGUGGAACUGCCUUAGAUACUGACGGCCUCGAGGGAGGUAGGGGCGAGCGGAACUGUGAGUGGAGCGGUGAAAUGCGUUGAUAUUCACAGGAACUCCGGUGGCGAAGGCGGCUCGCUGGACCUUUUCUGACGCUGAGGCGCGAAAGCUAGGGGAGCAAACGGG